CUUAGAUCAACUGACACAUUUUAAAUGGCAAUUUCAAGGGGUUACUGCCAAUUAGAAAGGAUCACUCCCAUUUCAAUCCCUGGACUUAUCUCUUUUAGUUUUGGGGCCUCAACCCCAGAGCAAUGUGCAAGAUAUGUUACAUUUUUAUUUGUUUGUAACAAUAUUUAUAUAGGGUUACAAAAUUGUCAGUUAUAAUGAUUUUAGCAAAUCGUUAAUGUCAAAAAUGAAUAACUUUACAAGUAACAAUGACCAUUUUAUAAAGUUAUGCUAUAAAAUAGUAUACCUGAAAACACAAGGAUGCAUAUUUCAAAAAGUAUUUAAUAUAAAUUAAUGUCUCUCAGUUUCCAUCCAAUAAUAGCUUUGUAAUGUAGACCUAGAACAUUUUUACGUAACUUUGCGUAAAACAUUCAUUGUUUUAAGCUCCCUGAGACUAAAUGGUGAACUGCUGCACUGUUUAAAAUGACUUUCAAUGUUCUCUUUGGGAUUCCCUGACAAUGCUUUAUUUUUAUGUUCAUAUUCUCAUAACCCUCAAAUCUUCACCCUUUAGUGGUAGAUUUGAUUUCUCAAAUUACUCAAACGCCAUUUAUAGCAAAGUGGGUGCUCAAAGGAAAAGCAUGUAAUUUUUAGUCAUUUUAAAAUUAAUUUUUGUUAUAUAAAGAACACACAUAUACAUUUUUCUAACCACACUCUCCCAAAAAAGUCAUAAAUAAAAGGUAAAGUUCUAUUUUACCAUAAGUCCCAUAAAUCCCUGUCCCCCUUCCCUCCUCUAUUCACUGUUGUCAUUUUAGUGUAUAUUAUUCCAGUUUUCUGUUCAUUUACAAAGACAAAUAUGUACCACAAUAAAACAGUAUUGUUUUGAAGGGGUUUGUUUUUGCAUAAAAGAAUAACUAAAUACAAAUCGUCCUGCGACUUGCAUUUGUUCUCCACUCCAAAAUAUGUCCUGGGAACUUUCCAUGUUGGCAUAACACAGUAUUCCAUAACUGGAUAUUCCAGUAAUUUAGCCAUUUCCCCAGCUGAAGGGGGAAUUAGGUGUCGUCAAUAUCACAAACACCUCUGAAAAGAACAUCUGUAUCCAGUUUAACGUUGACAGAAAAUUCUGUCCGUGUCUCAGUUCAUCUGUAAAAAAGAUGCAAACAUCACCUGCCAUAUAGGGCUGCAGUGGGGAUUAAAUAAACUGACAUAUCUGUGGCCGGCUCUGUCACCCAAUGUCGUUAUUUUCUUUGGUUAGCUCUGAUCCUUUCGUCUUGGCUCUUGGGAGAUUCGAUACUAGCUGCCGUGCGCUGAGCAUCAUCUUCCAAAUCAAGGUAACUCCGAGCCUGGUGGGAGCGUCUUCUUCUGACAUCCCUUAGUCUCCUGCUUUAAGGUGAGAGGAUUUUUCUGACGGUUGUGGCUUUUCUUUUCAACGGUUAAAAGAGGCGCGCUGGACACCCAUUCUCCAACACCUUUCUCUUGGUGCACAAGCUGUUCCCUCUACCCAGAUGCCCAACCCGGUCCCUCGCCAUCACGCUUGGAGUCCGAGCCCUCCGCCGGGAAGUCGAGGGCAGGCGGCGCAGGCACAGCCCCUGCCCCGUCGCCCUCCGCCUGGAGCUCCCGGGCCGCCGAGCUGCCCCCCAGCCUCGCCGGCCGCGCGCGGGCCGCAGGGCAGCCGGGCCGCUAGCUCAGCGCCGCCUCACUCGGCAGCCGCGGCCAUCACCACCGGAUCCGGAAGUAGCCCUGCUCGAGGCGGAAAGUUCACCCCGGCCACCCGCGCACCGCCUUCGGGGGCAGGGCCUGCGGCAGGCCCCGCCCCUUCAGGCCCCGCCCCUUCCCCUUCCAGGAGGAAAGGAUGGGC
ensembl:lncRNA